rnacentral:rRNA from 1 species
UACGGAGGGUGCAAGCGUUAAUCGGAAUUACUGGGCGCAAAGCGCACGUAGGUGGUUUACUAAGCCAGCUGUGAAAUCCCCGGGCUCAACCUGGGCACUGCAGUUGGAACUGGUAAGCUAGAGUAUGGUAGAGGGGUGUGGAAUUCCAGGUGUAGCGGUGAAAUGCGUAGAUAUCUGGAGGAACAUCAGUGGCGAAGGCGACACCCUGGACUAAUACUGACACUGAGGUGCGAAAGCGUGGGGAGCAAACAGG